rnacentral:rRNA from 1 species
CCUACGGGAGGCAGCAGUAAGGAAUAUUGGACAAUGGGGGCAACCCUGAUCCAGCCAUCCCGCGUGCAGGAAGACGGCCCUAUGGGUUGUAAACUGCUUUUAGAAGGGAAGAAAAUUAUUCAUUUAUGAGUAACUGACGGUACCUUCAGAAUAAGCACCGGCUAACUCCGUGCCAGCAGCCGCGGUAAAACGGAGGGUGCAAGCGUUAUCCGGAAUCACUGGGUUUAAAGGGUGCGUAGGCGGAUAUAUAAGUCAGAGGUGAAAGCUCUGAGCUCAACUGAGGAAUUGCCUUUGAUACUGUAUAUCUUGAAUUGUGUUGAGGUUAGCGGAAUGAGUCAUGUAGCGGUGAAAUGCAUAGAUAUGACUUAGAACACCAAUUGCGAAGGCAGCUAGCUAGGCAUAAAUUGACGCUGAGGCACGAAAGCGUGGGGAGCGAACAGGAUUAGAUACCCUGGUAGUCCACGCCCUAAACGAUGCUUACUCGAUGUUUGUACAUAAGUAUGAGCAUCCAAGGGAAACCGUUAAGUAAGCCACCUGGGGAGUACGUUCGCAAGAAUGAAACUCAAAGGAAUUGACGG